rfam:Triticum aestivum genome assembly, contig: Triticum_aestivum_CS42_TGACv1_scaffold_129535_2BL
GUAGUACUCCCUCUGUCCGGAAAAACAUGUCAUCAAAAUGAAUAAAAGGGGAUGUCUCUAGAUGUAUUUUAGUUCUAGAUACAUCCCUUUUUGUCCAUUUUGAUGACAAGUAUUUUUGGACGGAGGGAGUAUUUU